rnacentral:rRNA from 1 species
UACGUAGGGGGCGAGCGUUGUCCGGAAUUAUUGGGCGUAAAGAGCGUGUAGGCGGUUCGGUAAGUCUGCCGUGAAAACCUGGGGCUCAACCCCGGGCGUGCGGUGGAUACUGUCGGGCUAGAGUGCGGAAGAGGCGAGUGGAAUUCCUGGUGUAGCGGUGAAAUGCGCAGAUAUCAGGAGGAACACCAAUUGCGAAGGCAGGUCUCUGGGCCAUAACUGACGCUGAGAAGCGAAAGCAUGGGGAGCGAACAGG